rfam:Capsella rubella cultivar Monte Gargano unplaced genomic scaffold scaffold_5, whole genome shotgun sequence.
AUACCUUUCUCGGCCUUUUGGCUAAGAUCAAGUGUAGUAUCUGUUCUUAUCAGUUUAAUAUCUGAUAUGUGAACCAUUGGUUCACACGAUAUUAACUUUAUUUUUCGAGGGAGAUAUACUCAUUAAGAUAGCUUGCUGUCUGAGUUUUCUUGAGUCGUCUAUGUGUUGCACUAUUGCAUGGACCUGGCUCAUCCCCA